ACUAAUAGUUUACUGACGAUAUGUUUCGAAAAUAAUUAGCAUCAUCAGUCUCUAAUUUAUAUAUAAUAUACAGCACAGACUGUUGAUGUGAGUUAUUGACGAAAUAUAUGUUUGGCUUGUGAAGAAUCC
rnacentral:precursor_RNA from 10 species